AACAGAGUCAUGUCAACAAUUUGAUUCGAUAAAAUCACGCUAAUCGAAAAGAAAUAAUUCAAUUAUGCAGCUAGAUUUAGCGUAUUAAAACAGAAAUUAUCUUCAAGUGUAAUCACACCUCCAACUAUAGCGAAAAUGGGCUUACUUAGUAUUUUGAAGAAGCUGCGCUCUAGCCCGGAUAAGGAACUUCGUUUGCUUCUCCUCGGGCUAGAUAAUGCCGGUAAAACUACGCUCUUGAAGCAGCUGGCAUCAGAAGACGUUAGCCAUGUGACUCCGACAGCAGGUUUCAACAUAAAAUCUGUUCUGUCCAGUGGAUUCAAGCUGAAUGUGUGGGAUAUCGGCGGGCAGAGAAAGAUUAGGCCGUACUGGAGGAAUUACUUUGAAAAUACUGAUAUUUUGAUCUACGUAGUGGAUUGUUCUGACCACCAGCGUUUGGAAGAGACUAGCACGGAGCUAGCAGAACUUCUCCAAGAUGACAAGCUACGUGCGGUCCCGUUGUUGGUGUACGCCAAUAAACAAGACUUGUCUUCAGCUUUGCCUGCGAGCGAGGUGGCUCAGCAUCUUGGCCUUCACCUGAUCAGAGAUCGGACUUGGCAGAUACAGGCAUGUGUCGCCACUGAUGGUACUGGUGUGAAGGAAGGAAUGGAGUGGGUAUGCAAGAACAUUCCUGUUAAAAAGUAACUUUACGAAGUAUUAAUACAACCCGAUUGAGCUAACUGCGCAACUCACUGGAAUGAGGUCCUACUUACCAGUACACCUACCCGCGUUCGCCCCGUCCGUACCAGAGCGUCAAUGUGACGUCACGGGUGUUAGGUGCGCAGUUAACUUGCCGGAUUGUUAAAGUCCCUCCAAAAAAUCAUGUAUUUAAAUCUAUUACCUCAUAGUUAAUGUUGACGCUUCAAUGUGCUUCAAUUUGAUCAAAAUAUAGGUAUAUUUUUAAAUGGUAAGUAUACCUACUUAUAUAAUUUUAAUAUACUAUUAAUUGUUUGAACAAAUGCAAUGAUUAUACUUGUUCUAUUUAAAACUUAUAUCUUGCACUAAAUCAUCAUUAAGGUUUCCAAUAAUCCAUGAUGUUACAAUCUUAUCUUUCUUAUCUUUAAUUAUAUUAUUUAGUAGGUAUUUAGACCAGGUGUAAAUAUCUAAAACGUGCAGUAUUUUGAUAACGAAAUGAUAUAAUAAAUCCGUCCAUUUGCUUUGUUGAUGUCUCAAAUAUUAUUAUUACAAAAAUAAUGUAGUAUGAUAGUGGUUAUAAAAAUUAUUAUACCUUUAAAUAUUAAUAAAUGAGACGAUUUACUGAAUGUAAUUAGCUAGU